UUGCAAGAGGCCGUUACGAAAGCGAGGCGGAUUAGAGGUCGGCGGGCGUGGAGCAUUCUUUAUCGUGGGCCGACGUUUCAGAACGGCCCGGUCUCGGAGACUUCGACGAUGGGUAGAAGACGUCGCCGGCUGGGCUCGUUCUUGGUUCAUUGAUAGUUGAAAUCACUAUGGCCUUCAUUCUUCUCCACCAUUCGACGCCGAGCGUGUAACUCGGCGUGGGUAGACUGAAAGAAAAAAAAGAAAAAAAAGAAAAAAAAGGAGGAACGCGCACACUUACGCCUUUCGAGCACGUAGGAGGUCGGACGAGCCCUCGCCAAGGAAGGAUAUAUUUAAUACGUGUUUUGUCAUCCAACCUCUCGACCCUGUGACGUCGCGGUGGGGCAACGGCUUAAUGUCGAUUACCUGGGUUUAGGAUCAGAGGUAUAAAAAAAGGCGCUUACGAGACAUAGGAUUCACGGGUCCCACGCUUGAACCUUUACGAGGCAUUCUCUGCGCGAUUUUCGCACGCGUCCCUCGAGCGUCAAGGGAAAGGUCGGUGGAUGUCUACAAAAAUGUGAGAUAAACGCGGGUUAAAUUCGCUGGCGUAAAGUGGAACGCCCUCCCCGAUGAUUUAUUCUCUUACGGGGACCGCCCAGUAACCCGGGAACGGCGGGGUGGAAAUCAAGAGGAAGGCCUCCCCGGAAAUGAACGGACAUAAGUGCGUGACCGUAAAGAAGCCACCAGAGCGCUCAACGUACGGAGAAGAUUGCCUGUUUGGAAUUAGCGGGCCGACCGCUAAUAAACAUUAUGGUGUCCCGUCGCUAACCGUGAUCCAAGGAAGUGCUCGAAAGAACUCCCGGAAUUCCCUAGCCGCUGGAUAACGAUCUCGAGCUGUUCCUAGCGCAUGUAUAUGGAACAUGUCAUCGCGCCGAAUAACCGGCGGAAUCGACAUUGCGAAAUCUAUCGGGACAGGGUAUCGAGUCGCCAUAGACAAGGCACGGUGAGAGGUUCCACCCACGCGCACCUGCGCCAACCUGGACCCUUUGAGAGUCAGGUUUAAAUGUGUUUAAAUGCACCUCGAGUCUUGGAGCAUACGAAUUCCGUAUUUUCCGGUCGUCUCGCUCGUAUUAAUUCCCGGAGCGAUCCCCCCACCCUGCGAUUCGAUGCUCGCUGCGUCUCUCUCUUUGAUUGGUUUCGCGGAUGAGUGAGAGAGAGAGAGCGAGAUAGCGAAACUCGUAAGUAAACCGAAUUGCCACUAGGUGUCAUUGGCGCUUGCGGGCCCGGGAUGGUCGGGCCAUAGGCGCACGACCUCCCGCGGACAAUCUGCAGGCUACGCCGGUGGGA